GCGACCCCAGGUCAGGCGGGACUACCCGCUGAGUUUAAGCAUAUCAAUAAGCGGAGGAAAAGAAACUAACAAGGAUUCCCUUAGUAACGGCGAGCGAACCGGGAAAUGCCCAGCGUGAAAAUCUGG
rnacentral:rRNA from 2 species